CAGCAGCCACGGUAAUACGAAGGGGGCUAGCGUUGUUCGGAUUUACUGGGCGUAAAGGGCGCGUAGGCGGACUGAUAAGUCAGGGGUGAAAUCCCAAGGCUCAACCUUGGAACUGCCUUUGAUACUGUUUGUCUUGAGUUCGAGAGAGAUAAGUGGAACUGCGAGUGUAGAGGUGAAAUUCGUAGAUAUUCGCAAGAACACCAGUGGCGAAGGCGGCUUACUGGCUCGAAACUGACGCUGAGGCGCGAAAGCGUGGGGAGCAAACAGGAUUAGAUACCCGCGUAGUCCCUGUCUCUUAUAU
rnacentral:rRNA from 1 species